GUUUAAAAUUUUUGAGCCGUUGGAAUACCAUUAUGACGUAUGUGAAGCUAUUCUACUGUGGGAACAGUACCGUAAUAUGACUACCAUCCUGACAAGAGAAUACUUGGAUGUCCGACCAGACGGUUGGUUAGAUUAUGCAGCAAA